GUGUCACCAGCAAUAUCUCUGCUUGUGCUGCUGCUUGUGCUGCUGCUUGUGCUGCUGCUCGUGCUGCUGCUUGUGCUGCUGCUUGUGCUGCUGCUUGUGCUGCUGCUUGUGCUGCUGCUUGUGCUACUGCUUGUGCUGUUAUUGGUGCAUCAUUUGACGGUUGUCGUUCGCGACUGUCUCAUAACGAAGCUUCACUUGCCGCAAGUUGUGGGCGUUGCACGAGAAACGCUGUACCUGGAGUCACCAAGUACGCGCGGCAAUCGUGACCGGUACACAGAAGUGAGCGUAGCGCGUGAAGACCUUGUUCGGUCAAGUGCGGUGCUGGAGCAACGGGCGCCAAGCUGGGAGCCAAAGCGACUCUGCCUGGGCGCUUGGAGCUUGUCGUCAACGCGCGGAGCCAGUUUUGUAGCUGGGAAUUUUGCACGUGACUGGCUACUAGCACGUUGCGCUGCCGGAGAACUAGCUCUGUGAUACGUUGCACAAGAAGCGCGUUCUAGGUACUGGGCUCGAGCUGGCGACAAACUGGUCCUUCAAUGUGCGCGGUGUCGAGCUACGUGUGUGUGCCCAAGGUACGCCUUGCUUAGGCGGUGCACGUCGAACAACGGGCACGCGAGAGCGUUGGUAUCAACAGCCAACGUGUCGCGCUGAUCUUCAACGCUUUCUUUGCUGUCGUUGCACAUGCACGACUGGCACACUCCCGCUUACCCGGCACAAGUAUCGCUAGACGAAGACAGCAACCCGCACGCGAGCUGUACUUGCGAGAGCGACCAUAUGUUUGCGUCUUGCUGAGCCUUGCGAUGGCAACGCCUGUUGGUCAACUUGAUUCCUGUGUCGCCGUGAGAACAAAGCACACCAUGAUGCAUCGCGUAAAACAUCAAAAGGUGCAGCUUGCUUCGAAUACCGCAUCCAUGCGCAUAGGACGAGCCUCACUCGUGUCUCCAACUUGCUCGAUCGACAGACGAUAAGCAACGUGACUCGUGUUUUGCAGGGCAUCGGGACGCUAGCUGAGUUGAAUGAGUGCGCAACUACCUGCUCGGUAACUGAUAACAUCAUGACACGGCGAACGUGGCAAUGGGAGCACGUCCGUCGUAUGAAAUCAGCGCAAGAAUCACCGCUGCCAGAAUACUGGUAUCGACAGCAGCUUCAUCGCAUAAUCUGGCACACAUUACGGUUAUGUUGCCUCUGGUGUUUCUCUGGAGCGAUUCCGAGCACUGGUGAGACGCGAGUCUGGCAAGAAGGUUACCGGCUCCGUGCAAGGAUGUCCGGGCGUCCUGACGCAUGUUCGCGGGGCGCUCGAUGACCAUGCUAUCGACAAUCGGUGCGUGGAUACCAGAGCGAAUGAGUGUGUGGGUGGUUAGGUUUGCUCCGUAGUGAGACGGCGUGCGUUUGUCGGACUCGCACAGGAUGUGCACGGUGGUAGAGGCAGCGCCCUGAACGAGUGUCCUGGCGGGGCGCUCGUCUACAUGAUUGUUUGCGCAGACACGCCCCAAAGAUGCCGCGUAUAGCAAGGAAGGAUAUGGUGCUGGGGGGUACUGCUAUGAGCGCGCGCGCUCAGUCGCUCGCCCUCGACUCAUGGCAGACUGAAAAGAACCACAUAACUGCGCGCUUUUGUUCCUGGUCUUCGAGGUUCUCGGACUGUUUUUUGACCUGCAGACUUGAGACUAAAAGUCCGCCAGUACGAACGUUCCGACGUAUUCGUAGUUUUAGGAUUCUGGGUCGAAUGUUCGAAGUGGUUUAUUCAACGCCUUGCCGCUAGAAUUUGGUACACCAUCGGAUUCUUCAUGAUUCGGGAUGCUCUUAUACGAGGCCUUUCAAAAGACUCUAUUUCAUGGUCCAGUGGAUACGCAGGAGCCUCGGCUUGUCUCCUUUCCUCCGAAGCAGCGUGCGCAUAUCACGCAUGGUUCAUGUUUCCAAACUCCCUGGGCCAAGGUAUUGCGAAGGCGCAACAAUGCCUUCUGUUGCAAUGACCAUGGAUAAACUGGGCGCCGUCCUUUCUCGAUUUCUCCACAAGCUCAAACAUAAAAGUUCAU
rnacentral:misc_RNA from 1 species